CAAGGGGCUGGGAAACGAAAAAUAGCCGCGCGCCAUAGUGAACCCAAAAAACUCAAUCUUCCCGAAGAAUGAAACCUCAUACUCCUUCUUCCCCUCCCCUCAACCCAAAAACUCUUCUCCGAAGAGUCAUCUAAAUCUCAAAAACCUCAUACGCAGUACUCACCUUCGUCUCUCUCGCUCUCUGGCUACUGAUGGGUGAAGGGAAAGCAAAGGGAAGAUUGCCUGACUAUUUAGAACACCUUCUUUGGAUAUUACUCAGAGGCUAGUCUGCUUUGUCCUCUAUUCUCUAUCCUCUAUCUUCCACUCGUCAUUAAUGGUUUGAGUCUAAUUCCAGACUAACUGUGUUCAGUGGAGGGCUACAAAGAGGAUCAAGAAGAGUAGUACAUGGUGGAGAUCGAGAAGGGUUCGGCCUUGGCAACAGAGGGAUCAAGUGUAUAUGAUUGAAGGGCACACAAGGUGCUGUUACUACUAUGAUAAACCUUGUUACAACCCUGCACGCUCAUACCAGCUAUCCUAUACUAUAAGAAAAUGUUACUGAUGGCCUAUAUAAUUGGGAAUUUCAUUUCAAGGAUCAUACAGGUUCCAGAUGCAACUAGUGACCAUGAAAUUCGGAGGGAGUCUGUAGGAGAAGAAGGGAAUCUAGAUUCAAGCAUUGAUAGAGCAAUGGAUUGAGUUUCAAUAUGUUAUUGCACAUAUUCUGAUAGUGCAAUAUUGGAAUUUUUGUUGAGUGUCACUCUUGGUUGUCUUCAUUAGGUGCUUGGUUUUGGGCAUAACUUUGUACUUCUUCUAAUUACAUAUUCUGACAGUGCAGC